rnacentral:rRNA from 1 species
GCAAAUCAAUAUAAAUUGAUUAUAUUUUGUUUAUUUAAUUUAUCUGUGAAUUAAAUUAUUUAUUAAAAAUAAUUAUAUAAUUUGAUGUUUUAGUAAUGUUUAAUGAAAAAAUAAUUUAUAUUAUAGUGUAUUAUAGUAUCGUGAGAGAUUACUGAAAUAUUUUGAAAAAUUUUUAUUAAUAAAGAAAAUUUAAUUUAUUGUACCUUGUGUAUCAGGGUUUAUCAAAUAAUUAAUAAUUAUUUAUUAAUUUCGAUUUUAUAAGAGUUAAUGAUUUAUGAAAGUUAAUGUGUUAAAAUUAUUUUUAAUAAAUUGUUAGAAAUGAAAUGUUAUUCGUUUAUAAAGGUAUCUAGUUUUUUUAGAAAUAAAUUUAAUUUACUAAUUUUUAAUUUUUUUGUUAUUUAAUUAAUAGAAAAAAUUAUUAAUUUGAAUAUUUUAAGGGAUAAGCUUUAAAAUAAAUUAUUAAAAAUUAAUAAUAUUUUUAGAGAUUAUAUGCUUAUUAUUAGCAAUUGAUUAAGAUUUUGUUAUAAAUCACUCUAAUUUAUUAUAUUAUUUAUUAUAAUUUUAAUUUUUUAUAAAAAUAUUUUUUUUAAUUAAGAAUGUAAAGUAAAUAUGAUAAAAUUAGUAUAUUUUAAUGUAUAAAUAAUUAUAUAUGACAAGUUUAUAUAAAGAACUCGGCAAAUUUUUUACUCGCCUGUUUAACAAAAACAUGUCUUUUUGAGUUAUUUUUAAAGUCUGACCUGCCCAAUGAAUAAUUUUAAUGGCCGCAGUAUACUAACUGUGCAAAGGUAGCAUAAUCAUUAGUCUUUUAAUUGAAGGCUGGAAUGAACGGUUGGACGAAGUAUAAGCUGUUUCAUAUAAAAUUAUAAUAGAAUUUUAUAUUUUAGUUAAAAAGCUAAAAUGUUGUUAAAAGACGAGAAGACCCUGUAAAUCUUUAUAUUUUUAUAUAUUUAAAUUUUUUAGAUAUAUUUUAUUUUUGUAUACGAAAGUAUUUUGUUGGGGUGAUGUUAAAAUUUAAUAAACUUUUAAUUAUAAUUAAUCAUUGAUUUAUGAUUUGUUGAUCUGUUAAUAACGAUUAUAAGAUUAAGUUACUUUAGGGAUAACAGCGUAAUUUUUUUGGAGAGUUCAUAUCGAUAAAAAAGUUUGCGACCUCGAUGUUGGAUUAAGGUAUAAUUUUAGGUGUAGCUGCUUAAGUAUUAAGUCUGUUCGACUUU